rnacentral:rRNA from 1 species
UCCCUUAGAUGUUCUGGGCCGCACGCGCGCUACACUGAUGCAUUCAACGAGUCUAAAACCUGCUCUGAUAGGGGUGGGUAAUCUUUUGAAUGUGCAUCGUGAUUGGGAUAGAUGAUUGCAAUUUUUCAUCUUCAACGAGGAAUGCCUAGUAAACGCAAGUCAUCAGCUUGCAUUGAUUACGUCCCUGCCCUUUGUACACACCGCCCGUCGCUCCUACCGAUUGAAUGAUCCGAUGAAUAUCAUGGAUUGAGGAUGUAAGCAGGUUCGCCUGUCUUCAUCUUCGAGAAGUGAAGUAAAUCUUAUCAUUUAGAGGAAGGAGAAGUCGUAACA